rnacentral:miRNA from 1 species
UAUCGACACAUAUGGACUCCCAG